rnacentral:rRNA from 1 species
AUGGUUUGGCUUCUCGAUGAUCAUUGGGACAAACAACACCGGUCGUACGCUAUGUCGGUGCAGCAGCGGGAGCUUGCACCUCUGAAGCUUCGGUCUCAGGGGAUCAGCCUUGGAGGGAUGCGCUAUGAUGAGCGGUACACAUCGUAUACCGUGAAGUACGAGGAUUGGGACGAUAAAGAUGACCCACUACGGCUCCCCACUUGGGCUUACAAGUGGGAUGUGUUAAAUGAGACGACGGAUGAUCCCUCGGUAAUGUACAAGUUGUACAAGAGCGAGCUGGACGCGAUCACGCCUGAGCAGGUGGAAUGGGAGCCCUAUGGAAAAGGAGAGAGUUUUGGUAACCCUAUAGAGUUCCGGCUGAAUCCGAUGUGCAUUAGGGAUAGGGAUCUCUGGCAUAUGCGGUGCCCACUGAUAUGCAACUGGGCGGUUGAGCUUCACCUGCCACAUCGGGUGUUCCGCCAGUUUGGUUUGUUCCAGCCACACCCGCCGGAGUGGGAGGACACGGACAAGUUGCUACACGCGUUGGAUAGGAAAAAGCAGCAGAAGAUCAAGGAUUGGGCCAACCAUCACAGGAAGUAUGUCGUGCAGUUCGCUCUUAGUGUGGAGCAAGCAAGGGCUGGAAAACGAGCCCAGCUUCGUGAGCGCUGCCCGAUCGCGUUCAACAACUAUCUCACAUGGUUUCUUGCAAGUACCCGCGUGGAGGUAUGCCAGCCGGCGUAUGCUGAGGAGAUUCUGGAAGAACCCACCGUUUUUGAUGAGAUCAAGAAAGCAGCUGAUGAGACCGAGACUAUUCUGGAAACAACCCCGGCUGGCAAAAGCGAUGGGGAAGCGCCAGGGCCAAAAGUUAAGGCGGCUAUCAAACCUUUUNNNNNNNNNNCUAUAGAGUUCAGGCUGAAUCCGAUAUGCAUUAGGGGUAGAGAUCUCUGGCAUAUGCGGUGCCCACUGAUAUGCAACUGGGCGGUUGAGCUUCACCUGCCACAUCGGGUGUUCCGCCAGUUUGGUUUGUUCCAGCCACACCCGCCAGAGUGGGAGGACACGGACAAGUUGCUACACGCGUUGGAUAGGAAAAAGCAGCGGAAGAUCAAGGAUUGGGCCAACCAUCACAGGAAGUAUGUCGUGCAGUUCGCUCUUAGUGUGGAGCAAGCAAGGGCUAGAAAACGAGCCCAUCUUCGUGAGCACUGCCCGAUCGCGUUCAACAACUAUCUCACAUGGUUUCUUGCAAGUACCCGCGUGAAGGUAUGCCAGCCGGCGUAUGCUGAGGAGAUUCUGGAAGAACCCACCGUUUUUGAUGAGAUCAAGAAAGCAGCUGAUGAGACCGAGACUAUUCUGGAAACAACCCCGGCUGGCAAAAGCGAUGGGGAAGGUGCACUUCGAGCAUUCAUUAAGCGCCAGGGCCAAAAGUUAAGGCGGCUAUCAAACCUUUUCGGUUGUCGUGACCCCGAGUAUGUAUCACCAGAACGGUCUAGGUCGGCGACACCAUCAGAUCCCGCUUCGGGGCAGAGCCAUGGUGAACCUUUCGAGGAUGAGGAUGUGGGUGUGGUCACCCAAGAGAUCAAGAAAGCAGCUGAUGAGACCGAGACUAUUCUGGAAACAACCCCGGCUGGCAAAAGCGAUGGGGAAGGUGCACUUCGAGCAUUCAUUAAGCGCCAGGGCCAAAAGUUAAGGCGGCUAUCAAACCUUUUUGGUUGUCGUGACCCCGAGUAUGUAUCACCAGAACGGUCUAGGUCGGCGACACCAUCAGAUCCUGCUUCGGGGCAGAGCCAUGGUGAACCUUUCGAGGAUGAGGAUGUGGGUGUGGUCACCGAAGAGGUUGCUGAUGAUAUGACCCUGGGGACGUACCAGGCUCGGUCUGCAUACGAGUUGAAGCCUAGGAAGGGAAUCAACAAGUACACACCUGAAGACUUCACCCAAAGAGGCCAAAGAGGCAAAAGGACGGUCGGCACCUCGCGGAUGGCGGCUUUGGAUGACUAUUUGGAUGACGAUGUCGAACCGGAGCCGGAGCCGGAGCCGGAGCGGGUUCCUCUUCCUAGGAAGGUGAAGAAGAUAAGCGUCAAGAGGGGGGAGGAGCCAGCAAGCGUGGAAAGCACUAGUCAUCGUCAUUUUUUUAUAAUGUUGAACUUAGAGUGGAAUUUGUUAUGUCGUUGA